rnacentral:rRNA from 1 species
GAUGAACGCUGGCGGCGUGCCUAAUACAUGCAAGUCGAGCGAACAGAUAAGGAGCUUGCUCCUUUGACGUUAGCGGCGGACGGGUGAGUAACACGUGGAUAACCUACCUAUAAGACUUGGAUAACUUCGGGAAACCGGAGCUAAUACCGGAUAACAUAUUGAACCGCAUGGUUCAAUAGUGAAAGGCGGCUUUGCUGUCACUUAUAGAUGGAUCCGCGCCGUAUUAGCUAGUUGGUAAGGUAACGGCUUACCAAGGCAACGAUACGUAGCCGACCUGAGAGGGUGAUCGGCCACACUGGAACUGAGACACGGUCCAGACUCCUACGGGAGGCAGCAGUAGGGAAUCUUCCGCAAUGGGCGAAAGCCUGACGGAGCAACGCCGCGUGAGUGAUGAAGGUCUUCGGAUCGUAAAACUCUGUUAUCAGGGAAGAACAAAUGUGUAAGUAGCUGUGCACAUCUUGACGGUACCUGAUCAGAAAGCCACGGCUAACUACGUG